CUCUUGUGAUGUAAAGUGUCCUUUCACCUGGUAACCUUUAUUCCUCCAAACAGUCAGGUCACGGGUCCUUACACGAUAAGACUGUUUUCUUUCAAUAUGAGACAGAGAAUAUACUAAGCAAGCUGGGAUUCAGAGAAAAAGGAGAGCCAUCCAGGAGUGGGUUCUAUAUGCCUCUGGGAAGACGAGCUAGCAAUCAGGAGACUGAAUGAAAGAAAGCACAUUACUGAAGGAAAAGCUCACACGAUUCUCUGGAAAAUACUAUGCUUUGAGGAAGCCCCUCUAUUUGACCCAUAAUCAAAGGGUGCAGGCAUUAGCAGUUACUGUGUGUGAAGAGACGCUCUCCCAGGAGAGGGAAACAUUCAGAAGCAGCCUGGCCUGUGUCACCUACUCCUGAAGCGGCAACAAAAGUCACACCGCAUCUGUACAGCAAACAUGUUGAAAGACCUGCUAUUGGCCACGCACUAUUCUCAGGUCAGUAAUAAUAACAACUCGCAGUUUCUCCUCAGUGCUCAUUAUGGGCCAGGUACUCUUCUACAUGCACUCACUCACCUAAGUUCACAAGAACUCUAAUCUAGGUGUUCCUUGCAUCAGCUCUAACUUACUAAACAGGAAGCUGAGGGGCAGAGAGCAUCCUAAAGUCAUUUAGUUCAUUUCAGGAACAACGUACAGCACAAGCUCAGAUCCUCCUGUCUCCUAAGUGUGACUCCUGUUAAAACAGAAUGCUGCUGCUUCCUGUCUCGUGAAUGACUGCGUCACUGCAUCUGUCCUGAGGGCUGGAGGCUCAACUAAAUGGAUCCCCGUGACACUCUGAACUGCAGUGUUUUAGAAACUCCCUGGUCUGAAAGUCACAGCUACUCUGAGGUGGCCACCCACUGGUCUCACAUCACACAAUGCCCCUCAGUGUGCCUCUGCCCAGGUCUCUCCCAAAUAUCACAAUCACCCCGAUGGUUCUAAAUUAGUGGAUACACGGAUGAGAUUCACAAAGGAAAAAAAUAAAUAAGGAAAGAAAGAAAGUGUUUUAAAAAUACAGGAAAUGAAAUCAGUACAAAAAGUUAAAAAGGAAAAAAACCACUCUACACAGCAUGAAUUUCCAACAUAUACCUUUUUUUUAAAGUGGCCUUUCCAGAGAUUUAGCUCUGUGGUGCCACACCUG
rnacentral:lncRNA from 1 species